rnacentral:tRNA from 1 species
CGGGUAGCUCAGCUGGUAGAGCAGAGGACUG